AGCAGAGAAGAGAAAAUACAGUUAAAAGGUGUUUACAAGCCAAGUCAACCCUGUGAUUUGCUACUUGUGUUCAUUUUUUGCUUGAGAGGCACACACCUAUAGCAGACUUUAAGUCGGCAUUCCACAGCCAUGAAGAAAUUUCUUGUUUGUAAACCAGAGAGGAAGAAUUAUAAGCCAGACACUUACAUCACCUGACAGAUGUGUUUCUCAAUCACGUAAGUUUAUUUAAGGCUUCCCCCGACCUCUCUCUCUCUCUCUCUUUUUUUUCUUUAACAUGAAUUGGAAUGGGCUAGAAAAGUGAGGAGAAAGUAGAAAAUAAAAGGAGGAAACACAUGCAUUUUUUUCUUUUUAAAGUAAUUAAUUGACUCUGCUUUCCUAGCUGCACUGUCAGAACUACCAAGUCCUCCUCUGUGUCUGGAAGUAAAUAUAUUUUCCUUACACUUGUCCGAAACGCUAUAGCUACUGGUAGAACGGUAACACAUAAUAACAUGGUAGUGACACAUAAAGCUGUCAGUCUUAAAGGGAAAUGGAUGCCAAAGCUGAGGGGGUAAACAGACUAAAUCAAUUUGAACAUGCAUGUUAAGGUCUGUGAAAGGGCAGAGUUUAGUGCUGCUAGGCUGAAAAGCAUUUGUCUCUGUCUCGUUGUAUUUCCCUACCAUGCAGCGGAAUACACCCACAGGCCUCUUGCUUGGCUCCAGUCAGGCUCCGUGGCUGAUUAAUGACAGCUGGAGGUGUCCAGUAAUUUCCUCACCUAAUAAUAAACUACAGUCCAAAAAAGAGUGGUUCCCUCAGGCCCGCCUUUAACAGAACUGUACUCGCCACCAGUAGAAAGCCAAUUACCAUGUCUGAGAUAAGGCACAUUUAAGCAGCUUUCCAGGGCCAUUUAGUUGGCUUUGGGCACCUCGCCUUUGUCUACCUUUGGACAAGCUAGGUUCAGAUAAUGUCUGGGUCAGUUAUAUAAUGACCUAGUGUUCCAAAAAUAUCUUUGUCAUCCCUGCAGGACAGAACCUAAAUUGGAGGACUGUCUCGUCUAAGCACAGAUCAAACGGCCUACGAGCAGCCACACCAACGUAAAAAAAACACACCAAUGGCCUCCGCUCCCUUAUUCUUUUUCCCAGGGUCACCAACUUACACAACGAUGACUACUGUUUCUGGGGCUUAAGCAAUCAGUCUGCCUCACAACAUCCUACCCGAAGGGGCCCACUAAAACAUUUUAUAGGAGAAUUUAUUCUCCGCAAGAACUUUUCCAGAUUCUGUCAGCAAUGAAAGAUGUGUGUGUAUAAAAUAUGAAGUUAAUAAAGGUUGC